UGGUCAAGUUAUUAAGGGUGCAGGGCGGAUGCCUUGGCACUAGGAGCCGAUGAAGGACGUGAUAAGCUGCGAUAAGCUUCGGGGAGUUGCACGUAAACUUUGAUCCGAAGAUUUCCGAAUGAGGAAACUCACUUAGAGUAAUGUCUAAGUAUCAUUAAGUGAAUACAUAGCUUAAUGAGGGGAACUCAGGGAACUGAAACAUCUAAGUACCUGAAGGAAGAGAAAGAAAUUCGAUUCCGUAAGUAGCGGCGAGCGAACGCGGAUUAGCCCAAACCAAUAAAGUUUUCUUUAUUGGGGUUGCGGACAUAUCAUAACGAAGAGGUAUCGUAAUUGAAGAGGUUUGGAAAGACCCACCACAGAAGGUAAUAGUCCUGUAUGUUAAACGAGAAGACUUUAGAUAUGAUCCAGAGUACCACGGGACACGUGAAACCCUGUGGGAAGCAGGAGGGACCACCCUCCAAGGCUAAAUACUACCUAGUGACCGAUAGCGUAUAGUACCGUGAGGGAAAGGUGA
rnacentral:rRNA from 1 species